rnacentral:lncRNA from 1 species
AUGGAGCUCUGGGGGGAUUCACGCGUGGAGGGCAACAGCUUCCUGCUGCCCGUCCCCAGCCAUGAGGGACUUGGCCUCGUGGUGCAGCACGGGAACAUCACAGCGAGAGAGGGAGAUCCCUGCCCAGCAGUGGUGCUCACCUCGCUCAGCACCUCGGCGGCGUCAGCCAUGGGCUGCAGCUGGCCCAGCACCUGCAGAUCAGCAGGGAAGGGUUUCUCCUUCCUAUCCCCCUGUUACCUGGCAGGCUCUCAAGCCUUGACCUUCGUCCCCGUCCUCUCCUGCUACCCAAGAAGGGAAAUUUUUGGAGGAAGAUGUUUUCAGGCUUACUGCCUCCAGUUCCUGCUUGCUGUUAACCCAGCCACACAGCAGGGUCAGGAGGUGAAGACACCUGAGUUUCCAUCUUGCUCUUGCACCAGCUGGCCCUGAGUUCAGCAGGGAUGCUGCAGCCAUGGUGCCUGGUGACAAGAUGCUGUGCUGGGAAGGUGGCACGGGCAUCUCCUGGAGAAGUGCAGCCAGGCCAGGUGCCCUUGACAAAGGCAGGCAGUGCCCAGCCUGACUCUGGACCUCGCCUCAUUGCGGAGCAGGGAGAGGGGCCUGGCAGCAACUCGUGCUGGGGUGGGGUUCAGCCAAGACCCCCAGCACCCACCCUCUGCUCCCAUUUUGUGGUCAGGGCUGUUGGCCAAGAACAAGUGAUUUAUGGGUGUUCUGCAUGAAGAAGGGGACUUGCCUUCAACCAGAGGAGGAUUUACCGUCAGUCUGAGGAGGGAAGGCUGUCGGGAGCUGGGAUGUGGAUGCACAUCGGUGAGUGCAUGUCGGGCAGGUGUGUGGGCCCCAUGCCCCUGCUGCCUUGCUUCUGGGAGCAAUCCAUGAGCAGUGAGAAGAGACCAGCAGCUCUGGGGCAGCCUUUCCCCUCACUUUCUCUUGCCUUUAAACCACUCUGCACGAAAGGACAGAAAAAGGAGGGCAAAAGCUGAGAGUGGGGAAUCUGUCCAUCUGUGAACCAGCAGCUCCGCUCUAAGGAGGGAAUGGGCCCUUAAGAGAAGCAGCAGCUGCUGCCCCACACCGCUCGUAUUGGCCUCACAUGGAGCAGCAGCACGGGCAGUGGGGGUUUCUGAUGUGCUGGGGCUCAGUACUGCGAGAGCCAGCAAGCUGUGCUGCAAGUCCUCUUUAUUACAUGUCAUAAAGUGGUAUUCCAAGAACAAUGCACCACAGCAGCAGAGAUAUAAAUAAUACGCAUUGCAAUACAAUCGAGCCUUGUCUAGGGCCUCUGCCCUGGGUGCUGGUAACUGCCUGCAGGUGAGCGGCUGCAGCGUGGAGCUGAGCUGCAAACCCCAUCUGCAGACCAAAGCGCACUGCUGCGAGGUGCUGGGGGAGAUGGGGGGUGGAGAGGGCCUGGAAGAGGAUGAGGGCAGUGGGAGGAUCUCUG